CCUACGGGACGCAGCAGUGGGGGAUAUUGCACAAUGGGGGGAACCCUGAUGCAGCGACGCCGCGUGGGUGAAGAAGUGUUUCGGUAUGUAAAGCCCUAUCGGCAGGGAAGAAAUUGGACGGUACCUGACUAAGAAGCCCUGGCUAACUACGUGCCAGCAGCCGCGGUAAUACGUAUGGUGCAAGCGUUAUCCGGAUUUACUGCGUGUAAAGGGAGCGCAGGCGGCCCGGCAAGCCUGAUGUGAAAGCCCCCGGCCCAACCGCGGGACUGCCUUGGGAACUACCCGGC
rnacentral:rRNA from 1 species